AUUUCCUACCAUCAUUAUUCUAAAUUAAUUAAUAACUACAUCACAUUUUAUUGGCAAAAAUUAAUUUAAAAAUUACCCCAUAAUUUGAGCAGCCAUGAAAUCUUUUGCCUAGGUUCAACAAUAUCCACGAAAUCAGUAUUCGACAUGCGUCACGUCAGUGAUAGAAACCAACCUCAUCCCUAUUGUAAAACUUUACCUUUCCUCUAUCUAUUCGACAUGCGUCACGUCAGUGAUAGAAACCAACCUCAUCCCUAUUGUAAAACUUUACCUUUCCUCUGUCUAUUCGCCCGUGAUAGAAACCAACUUCAUUCCCACUAUAGAACUCUACCUUUCCUCUCUAUUCACCCUUGAUGAUUGCCCACUUUCUUUCCUAUCAUGGUUUGACUGUUGACUGCUUUUUGAACUUGAUGCCCCAUGGUCGACGUUCCUCCUCUAAUAUAUUUCUUUGGAGAGAAUUUGCACAAGGAGGUGCGAAUUUGGCGA